rnacentral:tRNA from 1 species
AGGAGAAUAGCUCAAUGGUAGAGCUAUGGUUUUCAAAACCAUAGGUUGAGGGUUCGAAUCCUUCUUCUCCUGA